GUCUUGACAUCCACGGAAGUUUUCAGAGAUGAGAAUGUGCCUUCGGGAACCGUGAGACAGGUGCUGCAUGGCUGUCGUCAGCUCGUGUUGUGAAAUGUUGGGUUAAGUCCCGCAACGAGCGCAACCCUUAUCCUUUGUUGCCAGCGGUUAGGCCGGGAACUCAAAGGAGACUGCCAGUGAUAAACUGGAGGAAGGUGGGGAUGACGUCAAGUCAUCAUGGCCCUUACGACCAGGGCUACACACGUGCUACAAUGGCGCAUACAAAGAGAAGCGACCUCGCGAGAGCAAGCGGACCUCAUAAAGUGCGUCGUAGUCCGGAUUGGAGUCUGCAACUCGACUCCAUGAAGUCGGAAUCGCUAGUAAUCGUGGAUCAGAAUGCCACGGUGAAUACGUUCCCGGGCCUUGUACACACCGCCCGUCACACCAUGGGAGUGGGUUGCAAAAGAAGUAGGUAGCUUAACCUUCGGGAGGGCGCUUACCACUUUGUGAUUCAUGACUGGGGUGAAGUCGUAACAAGGUAACCGUAGGGGAACCUGCGGUUGGAUCACCUCCUUACCUUAAAGAA
rnacentral:rRNA from 1 species